AGCCAACGAGUCCCAAAUAGGACGAAAUGUGCGUCCUGGAU
rnacentral:hammerhead_ribozyme from 1 species